rnacentral:pre_miRNA from 1 species
GCUGGGAAGAGGAAGAAAGAGAGGUUCCAAGAAUAGUGGGAUUGGGAACAUAUGAGAAAGCAUGAGCUCUCUGCCCCUCCCCAUUUGAUCUAAUGUUGGAGGUGGAGAUUUCACUUUUAUGUUUUCUCGAUGCCUCCCAUUCCUAUCAUUCUUGGAGUUUCCUUCCUCUUCUCUUUUGCU